rnacentral:lncRNA from 1 species
CAAGCGCAUUUUGGCGCACAAGGGGCCUCGAAAUUCCAAAAGCAAUUGCAAAGCCAGGCUUUUAGAUUGUAGCUGAACCCCAAAACCCCAAAAAUGGCGCCUUCAGGCCUGUCUCUAUGAAUCCCCUCAGUUUUCCCCCCAAACCCCUACCAUGGACGACCCCCAAAAGGAGGACCCAGGCGAGGGGCAGAGUGGGAAUGGAAGUGUGCUGGUCAAGGACUCAAGUGAGAACGGCGAAGAAAGAAUCGUUCGUGUUGAGCUCCACAAGGAGGCCACUGAAGCGUACAUGGCCUACGCUAUGUCUGUCCUUCUCGGCCGCGCCCUGCCGGAUGUUCGCUACGGUUUGAAGCCUGUGCACCGUCGUAUUUUGUGAGUGAUGUUUGCUUAGUAGAUUGUUUGUUCCUGAGAAAAUUUGCUGGGAAGAAAGUAAUUUCUGUGAGUGAUGUUUAAUUUGUUCUGUAUUGUUCUCAAACUACAGGUGCAUCUUGAAAACCGUUCAAGAAAUGUGCUAGAGUUGUUGGAGAGGUUAGUAAUCAGAGGCUUUCUGUUUCUUUUGUAGAAAAUGCUUUGAUGCAGGUUCAAGGAAAAUUUCAUCCCCAUGGUGACACUGCUGUCUAUGAUUCCUUGGUGCGAAUGGCUCAGUAACAAUAACUUUUUCAAUUAAGUAAAAACGGAUAAGCUAGUAGCAAAUACGAAAAAUACUUCAACCUCUGCAAUGUCUUUUUCUUGUUUUUUUUUCUGGAUGGCCUCCUUGUAGUGUUCCAUUUUUCUCAUUUGUUACAUUAUUUUAGUUUUCCCAGCUGUAGGAGUUAGUUUCUUUAGAAUAAAUCUGAAACAGUGCGAUAUAUUCUUUCUUUGUUUGCGGAUAUUUGAG